GUCAAAAUCGUGAUCCUCCUUGAUUUGGUGUUCCUGUACAACCGUCAGUUCCCCCAGUAAAAUCUUUGGGAUUCUCCUAUGCUCGGCAAUACGUGUGGAGAGUCUUCUGCUGGUUUGUCCAACAUAUGUAGCCUCACAAUUACCGCAUUCCGAUUUAUAAACAACGUUAUUAUGGUAACCAAGAGGAAGCCCAUCUUUAUGUACUCGUAUCAAUCCCGAUAAUCUGUUAGCGCAAGAAUAAGCAAUACUAGUACUAUCAUUUUUGAAAAUCUUUGUCAGUCUGUGCGAAAUCACACCAAAAAACGUUCACAUCUCGGAAAACUCUCCACACGUAUUGCCGAGCAUAGGAGAACCCCCAAAAAUUUACUGGGGGAACUGACGGUUGUACAGGAACACCGAAUCAAGGAGGAUCACGAUUUUGACUGGAAACAUGUCAAGGUUCUGCAUGAAGAACGUUUUUAUUUGAAACGCCUGAUUGCAGAGAUGAUUUACAUUAAAUUCCAAAGGCAUGGAUUGAAUUCACAAAAGGACAUAGAGUAUCUGGGCGACAGCUACUGCGGCUUAUUAUGAUAGUCUCUCGGUUUUGUUUUCCUUCUCUUCCACGUGUUUACCGCUUCGAUAUCUUCUAAUGUAUAUAAAUUUGUUAUUAUUCGUAUUGCCCUGACUUGGUGAUAUUGGCAUCGACAGCAACGUUUCACAUUUCUAUAAUAGCUUACUUUUAUCUGAGAGUUAUGACGGACACAUCACAAAUUUUUGGAUCAAAUUAUCUACUGUAAAAUCACUGUUCUCUUAACGUUUUUGUCGAUUGUAAUAUCAAGAAGAAUAUUGAGAUCUGUUUGUUUCGCCCGAGUCACGAUAUCAUCGUUUUGUAAUUUUUUCUGUACAAUCCUUGAGUAAUUUUAUUUUAUUGUAAUUAUCACUGAAGAGGGUUCACGAUUGAGCCGAAACGUUGGAUGAUUUAUGUUAUAUUUAAUAAAGGAUUUCUCUAUUUCCUAACAUAAGGAAGGCUUUAUCUAUAUGAUAUAAUAGCACUAUUAUAUAUGUGCUUGAGCUCAAAUUAGCCCUUUUAUAUAUAUUUUUUAAAUUCCUUAAAUUCAACACUCCUUUAAGUUAUUUGAUAUAGAAAAUUAAAAUUUUUUGUUGAAACGAAAACUUUUAUUUUUUUAUAGUGAUUUUGUAGUGAUAGCAUUUAUUCUUAUGUAAAAUAUACAACAUGCAACUAACAAUAAUAUGUACGUAUUAUAAAUAUAUGUGGAAUCGCAUGGGAAUAUGUAAAACAGGUACAAUUAGAAUGAUAUAACUAAUAAUGCUUCCUUUAAAAUAACGAUAAGAAUUCAAGUGUUUUCAAGAAUUCAAGCGAUUAGAAAGCUUAGAGAAGCAGUUGAUUGUUAAUACAAGUAUUAUCAACUUCUACAAAAUAAAUACUCUUAAUUACAUACCAACUUUCAUGCGUCUCUCCAACGCUGUAUACAUUCUUUUCAUUUCUUCUAAUUCGUUUUUCGCUUUAUCUCUUUCCUCGGCAGCGCUAGUGUAUUCCUUCUCGGCUUUUUCCGCAUCUUUUUUCGCUUGUUGUGCUUCCUGUCUUAAGGAUUCCGUAAGUUUUUCGUCUUGCUGCUUACUCUCCUGAACGUUUUUCUGGGACUUCACACGAUCCAGUUCUGACUCGAGAUUCAAAAUUCUAACCUGCGUAUCAUAAGUUGAUCAAAUCAUUUAAUAAAACAUUAUGAAACUAUCUUUACAAUAUAAAUAGCUUAUUCUUGAUGUGUAAUACACAUUUUAGGUAUUUAUGUAAUUUAAUUUGUACAUAUACAAAAAGUAUGCAUUUAACUGUGUAAAAUGACACAUAUGAAACAUGUAGAAACAGUAACACGUGUAAUAAGGGCGUAAAAAGUGACUGCACAAUUUUACAUACUGUAUAUAGUAAGGAUAUAUUGGAUAUAAACAGAUCUUUUAUGAUUACCGAUUAUGGGUGACGAUAAAAAUAAAGUACCAAAAUUUGGACAUAUACCUAAUUUUGAACAUUUAAAUUGUUUUGGCCUUCAUAUAGAAAAAAUUUCAAUUUGUAACUGAAUGAACCAGACGGAAAAUUUACUGACUCGAACACGAAGUGGGCCUUACCUAAUGAGGGAGACAAUUAAUCAGGACAAAAACUUACGCGUGCGUCGUUCUUUGAAAUGAUUAAAACGCUGUUAUGCGUUUAAAGUCAUAUAUCAUAGACAGUUGUCAUGACUGGGCGUUCAACUUAAAUUUUCAGUGGCCGCGAUGUGUAACGUUAUUGAUUAAUAAGCGGCAAAAAUACUGUGAUAGAUUUGGCUUGGAUCCACUCGGCAUCGUAUGCAAUUUGAAAAGAGGGAGAUUAGGCUUGCGCAGGACUCGAUGCCGAAGCUCCUCGUCAAAGUCGAAGAAAGUGCGACGAUCACCUGCUGGGUCAGCUGUGACUUUGUUCACUCUUUCAAUCAGAGGUGCGCUUCUGUCAUUGCACUUCACAUGCCUCAAAGUCUUGCCGCUUUCCACUUCCUUCAUCAUACUGGCCCAAUCAGGACGCUUCCUGGGCCUGGACUUCAAAAUAUCCAGCUUUUGCAUUUGAUUAUCGUUGAGUAGUGGGAGCUCCUUAAGGAUUGUCCUGGCAGGUGGUGGUGGUGGUGGUCGUGGUGGGGGAGGCGGUGGUAUGUUCGCUCUUGAGGAGCUCUUCGAUAAUGUCGGGGCACCUUAACAGAAGUUAGUUGUGUUUAGAACUCGAAGAUAGACGUUAAAUAUUUAGUUGUACGUGAAACCAUUGGCAAGUCCAACCGAUUCUGUUAUUAUGCAUGGACAUAACAGAGAGAAGCAAUACCAACUGACAGCUCAGAAGCACAAUGAGGAUACUUUGAAGUUCCAACGCUUCCGUAUAGCCGCACAGUAUUUUGUACGUGAAUGUGAAGUAGCCAAACUUUACGACUCUUGGAAUACAAAGGAUCUGAAAAGUGAAAAGUAUCUGGAACAAAGCAAGAAGGACGAGCAGCUUCGAGCAAAGAAAGACAGGCUGCGAGAACUUCUUAACGAAGAAGAAAAUACAUAUCGAAAAGAAUUAGAGUCGAAAAAUUCCGAAUUAAAAUGUCAUGACACCGCUACCUCUCUGUUUUGCCGAAAUCGCCAAGAAAAAUGUAUUAUGAGAAAUUAGAAGCACAGCUAGUGUUCAUUUUUCCAAAAUCGUUAAUACCGUGGCUCAGAGAAGAAACGUUACAAAACAACAAAGGAAAUCCAACAAAAUCUGAACCGAAUAAAUUGGAUGAUGACGGACAGUCCAGCACUAGUCCGCAUUAUUGCUCCAGUAUUACACAACCCAUUCUGAAGCCACAAUUGUAUCUUAUGUGGUUACCAGAAGGAACCUUACUAGGAACUCAGCCUCUAGAUCAUUCCAGUCGCCUACCUAAAAGUACCUAUUUUGCAUUAAAUACAUCUUCAGACUUGCCUCUACCUUCUGGUGAGAUUGAGACCCCACCGGAAUUUCUAUAUGUAAUUGACGUACACAUACUUUUCUCAAAUUUAUCACUGAAGGAUGAAGCAUAUAAAACACCACACUUUGAGCCAAUAUAUAAAAAUGAUUGUCCCUAUAAGAAAUAUGAGCUGAAGCUGAUGUGGUUUUACCUGAAAAGUAAAGAAACAUUAGACAAAUUAGAAGAUUUUAAAUCUCUAGAAAUAUCUGCACUUUUCGAGAAACAACCGAUGCGCAGAUUAUAUUGGUUAUUUAAAAGGUAUCAGUGGCUGUAUUGGCUGGCGAUAUCAUAUUGUUAUAUGGGACAAUUCAAUACAAUUACCGCUGAGACAGCAAUGAGGUGCUGUUGUAAGAUGUCACAAGAACUACUGGAAAGGGAAAAAGUUUACAAGUAUUCUAAACUCACUGAGUAAGUACUAGAUAAAAGUAAAAGUCGAGUCAAUUAAUUGAAGAAUAAGUUUAAAUUUUAUUGUGUGUGUAUACAGCAUGUAAAUUAAUUUGCACCCACUAUUUUGAUAGCAAAACUUUUUUAUAAAAACUUGAGUCUUUUUUUAAUAAUAAAUGAAGCAACAAUUAAUAAGUAAAGUUCGAUUAAACAGUAAACUGUCGUUUAGAUAGAUCUAUGAGUAUCUGACAGUGUGCGUGAGUGUGUUGCCGCAAUGAACGCCGCCAAGACCGCCUCUGGUUGCAUGGUCCUGUAAUAAUGUGAACAAUUUCUUUUCGCAAUUUAUUUUUAAGAUAAUACUGCAUGAAUUGUGAAUCAUAUAUAUUAGAUUAAUCACGCUAGUUACGUUAUUUCUGAUAUUUUCUUUGAUAUGCCGCUCAUUCGAUUUGUUGUUCUAAGUAUAUCGUUUCACGCCAAAUAUAUCUUUAUCAACACUAUUCCGACAAUUAUCCGACAAUCGAGACUACUAUAAUUUCUGCGCAUGACCGUGAAUACGUUAAGAAUCUAGGGCGCCGUAGCUGCUCUCAUCCAAAUAUUUUAGAAACAUUAUUUCUUACGUUAGGUUAAUAAGAACUAUCGCAUUUAAAGUUUAGGCAUGAUAAUUUAAUUCGUGAGGCAUGAUAAUUUAAUUCCAUAUUAAUGUUUAAUAUGGAAGCGAUGCGUGCUGAAAAAUUUCCUGAAUUUUAAACAUCGCUAUCUACCUUAU